rnacentral:rRNA from 1 species
GAUGAACGCUGGCGGCGUGCCUAAUACAUGCAAGUCGAGCGAACGGACGAGAAGCUUGCUUUUCUGAUGUUAGCGGCGGACGGGUGAGUACACGUGGAUAACCUACCUAUAAGACUGGGAUAACUUCGGGAAACCGGAGCUAAUACCGGAUAAUAUUUUGAACCGCAUGGUUCAAUAGUGAAAGACGGUCUUGCUGUCACUUAUAGAUGGAUCCGCGCUGCAUUAGCUAGUUGGUAAGGUAACGGCUUACCAAGGCAACGAUGCAUAGCCGACCUGAGAGGGUGAUCGGCCACACUGGAACUGAGACACGGUCCAGACUCCUACGGGAGGCAGCAGUAGGGAAUCUUCCGCAAUGGGCGAAAGCCUGACGGAGCAACGCCGCGUGAGUGAUGAAGGUCUUCGGAUCGUAAAACUCUGUUAUUAGGGAAGAACAUAUGUGUAAGUAACUGUGCACAUCUUGACGGUACCUAAUCAGAAAGCCACGGCUAACUACGUG